CCUACGGGAGGCAGCAGUGGGGAAUAUUGGGCAAUGGGCGCAAGCCUGACCCAGCAACGCCGCGUGAAGGAAGAAGGCUUUCGGGUUGUAAACUUCUUUUAAGGGGGAAGAGCAGAAGACGGUACCCCUUGAAUAAGCCACGGCUAACUACGUGCCAGCAGCCGCGGUAAUACGGGGGAUGCGAGCGUUAUCCGGAUUUAUUGGGUUUAAAGGGUGCGCAGGCGGUAUGGUAAGUCAGCGGUAAAAGCCCGGGGCUCAACCCCGGCCCGCCGUUGAAACUGGCAGUCUCGAGUUGGAGAGAAGUAUGCGGAAUGCGCGGUGUAGCGGUGAAAUGCAUAGAUAUCGCGCAGAACUCCGAUUGCGAAGGCAGCAUGCCGGCUCCACACUGACGCUGAGGCACGAAAGCGUGGGUAUCGAACAGGAUUAGAUACCCCUGUAGUC
rnacentral:rRNA from 1 species